ensembl:lncRNA
UUUCCUCGGGGGAAGAUGGAGGAGAAGUUUCCCUCGGGGGAAGAUGGGAAGAUGGAGGAGAAGUUUCCCUCGGGGGGAAGAUGGAGGAGAAGUUUCCCUCGGGGGGAAGAUGGAGGAGAAGUUUCCCUUGGAGGCAGAGAGAAUACAGGUGAAACAGAGGUAGACCUCAGAAGGUAGGCUCAGAAGGUAGGCUACAGCGUAAGAUAGAUGACCCCCCCUCAGUAACAGAUAUGUGUUCUGUGUCUCUUAUCCAGACAGGAUACAUGACCCCCCUCAGUACCAGAUGUGUUCUGGGUCUCCCAUCCAGACAGGAUAGAUACAACCCCCCCUCAGUACCAGAUGUGUUCUGGGUCUGUCCCAUCCAGACAGGAUAGAUAAAACCCCCUCAGAGUACAGAUGUGUUCUGGGUCUGUCCCAUCCAGACCCCCUCAGUACCAGAUGUGUUCUGGGUCUGUCCCAUCCAGACAGGAUAGAUAAAACCCCCUCAGUACCAGAUGUGUUCUGGGUCUGUCCCAUCCAGACAGGAUAGAUAAAACCCCCUCAGUAACAGAUGUGUUCUGGGUCUGUCCCC